rnacentral:rRNA from 1 species
GUAUUGGGAUACUGGGUGUAAGGGCGUGUAGGCGGGGGUGACAAGUCAGAUGUGAAAUACCGCGGCUCAACUGCGGGGCUGCAUCUGAAACUGUUCUUCUUGAGUGUCGGAGAGGAAAGUGGAAUUCCCAGUGUAGCGGUGAAAUGCGUAGAGAUUGGGAGGAACACCAGUGGCGAAGGCGGCUUUCUGGACGACAACUGACGCUGAGGCGCGAAAGCGUGGGGAGCAAACAGGAUUAGAUACCCUGGUAGUCCACGCUGUAAACGAUGGAUACUAGGUGUAGGAGGUAUCGACCCCUUCUGUGCCGGAGUUAACACAAUAAGUAUCCCGCCUGGGGAGUACGGCCGCAAGGUUGAAACUCAAAGGAAAUUGACGGA